GGACUCAGCCCGUCUGCACCCAGGUGAAAUAAACAGCCAUGUUGCUCACACAAAGCCUGUUUGGUGGUCUCUUCACACGGACGCGCAUGAAAUUUUGUGCCGUGACUCGGAUCUGGGGACCUCCCUUGGGAGAUAAGUCCCCUGUCCUCCUGCUCUUUGCUCCAUGAGAAAGAUCCACCUAUGACCUCAGGUCCUCAGACCAACCAGCCCAAGAAACAUCUCACCAAUUUCAAAUCCGGACCCCACUGAAAAUCGGACUGUUCAACUCACCUUGCAGCCACUCUCAGAGCCCCUGGAACUCUGGGUCAAGGCUCUCUGACUGACUCCUUCCCAGAUCUUCUCGACUUAGUGGCUGAAGACUGACACUGCCCGAUCGCCUCGGAAGCCCCCUAGACCAUCACGGACGCCGAGCUUCGGGUAACUCUCACAGUGGAAGGUUCCCAUGCUGCCCCUAAUCCUGCUUGAAGCAGCCCUGAGAAACAUCGCCCAUUCUCUCUCCAUAUCACCCCCCAAAAAUUUUUGCCGCCCCAACACUUCGACACUAUUUUGUUUUAUUUUUCUUAUUAAUAUAAGAAGGCAGGAAUGUCAGGCCUCUGAGCCCAAGCCAAGCCAUCGCAUCCCCUGUGACUUGCACCUAUAUAUGCCCAGAUGGCCUGAAGUAACUGAAGAAUCACAAAAGAAGUGAAUAUGCCCUGCCCCACCUUAACUGAUGACAUUCCACCACAAAAGAAGUGUAAAUGGCCGGUCCUUGCCUUCAGUGAUGACAUUACCUUGUGAAAGUCCUUUCCCUGGCUCAUCCUGGCUCAAAAAUCACCCCCACUGAGCACCUUGUGACCCCCACUCCUGCCCGCCAGAGAACAAACCCCCUUUGAUUGUAAUUUUCCUUUACCUACCCAAAUCCUAUAAAACAGCCCCACCCUUAUCUCCCUUUGCUGACUCUCUUUUCGGACUCAGCCCGCCUGCACCCAGUGAAAUAAACAGCCAUGUUGCUCACACAAAGCCUGUUUGGUGGUCUCUUCACAGGGACGCACAUGAAAGAUACCCCCCAUAAUACAAACAUUCUACAUAAAAAUAUGAAUACAGCUUUGUUUUGUCCUUUAACAAACUUGAAUCAUUCUGCAUGGAAUUGCAGAAGUACAGCAUAUAAAUUCUGGCAAGUUCUUGAAAUUUGGAAAUAACAUGAAACCAUAAAAAUUUUCCUAAUGUGAAAAGAACACUUCAGCCAAAAUAAGAUCACGUUUGGCAGUCACUUUACAGAAGAAAAGAGCUCUUGAAAAAGGCCUGCAAUGCACUUUCUAUGAAACAGUCUUUGAAUGCUUCAGUGGCUUUGAUGCCCUUAUGUCACUAUCCAGCCCCAAGACAAACCCUGCCCAGGGCAGAGCCUUUGCAGAGUAUCAUUUAAAUGCAGAUGAAAUAGCCGCUUUCUGGGAUCCAUUGUUGAUGACUCCACUUUGUUCAUGAUGCAGAAUAUUGCUUCUAGGAAAUGAUGAUGAACUGUUUAAGAACCUUAUCGAGUAUCUAUUUUGACUAUAUUUCAUAAAACAAUCUUUCAUAGAUAUAAAAUUUGUAAUUCACUAACACUCUUCUGAAAAACAUGAAUCUGAUUCUGUUUUUCUGUACCUGUAUUGAAGUACAAUUAUAGGAUCAACUGUCUACAUAGCUGAGUCUUAAAAUAAAUGUUAACUUUCCACUUUACUUUGCCAAUCGUAACUUGGCUGCUUAUAAUUAAAUGUUAGACCAUUUUUACCCCCAGGGAACUAAGAUUUGAAAAACUCAUAUUCCACUACCUGGAAACAAAAUAAUGGUCUUAGAUUUUCUUUUCUCACAAAAAGGCACUAUUGAAGGUGACUAAGCCAAAGAUGAUUCAGGACAUGUUAUGUUGUCUGAAGUAUGCAGUUCUGAAAAAGAAAACAUGCUGGAUGGUUGAGAACAGUUUGAGAUGAUCCAGAUACCCAAUUUUUAGUUGGUCCCAUCCAGAAAGAGUCCUAAGUGCCUGUACUGAAACAGUUCAGUUUACUGAAUUAAUUGGGUUUUAGAACUUGAAUCCCUAGAAUCAUGGUGGUGGUACAACUAAUGAGAUAUUCUCCUGGUAGAAUAAGGACUGGCAUUUACCACAAAGCAGGGCUGCAAAAUUACCUCCCCUGGGCAAUGUUAACGUGCAUCUAUUCAAGUCUCUCAGAGAACUGAAAUUUAGAAAGAUUUAGUCAUGGCUGGCUUCCCAAUAUUGAUCAAUUUUAAGAAUUUCUCAUUUUCCUAAAAUGUCCUCUUUCUUUCUCAUCUAUUUUGGAAUGCAUACGCACCUCAUUAAAUUAUUAUUUUUUGUCUUUUGUGGGUGUGGUUGGUAGUAAAGUAUUAAAUUCUUUCCUCAGCUUUAGCUUUGAAUUCCUUUAUGGUGCAUCAUAUGUAAAGCAUGGUUACCCAAGCUUCUUUAUUUCUCUGCAUCAACAAACUAUGCAUCCACGUCAAUAAUAUGUGAUAAAUUCAAAUCUCUAUUAGCUUUUUAAAGAUUUAUAAAGUUUCUAUCAUUUUAAAUAGAUUUCUUAAUUUUGACUUGCUUAUACUCUUACAUUUUUCCUAUUUCUCUAAAGUUCACCCACGUUCAGUAUUUAUAAUUUACACUAGUUCCUUAACAUGUAGUGUUUUAAUGAUUUUAUAACAAUAUUAAUUUUAUAACACAAUAUUAAUAAUAUAGUGGACAUUUUGAAAUGCCACUCCUCUUAUUCCUCAAUAUAUCAUUUUAGAAAUUGUGAUACAUUCUACUAUAAUAUAUAUAAUUUUUGGUCAUUGAAUCAAAUAUUUCAGAACAUCAAGAGACUUCACAAGUGUUUCCUCAUAGGACUUGGUUUUGUUAAUUUUGCAACAAAAAUUAAAGAUUAUAUGUGAAAAUCAGUUUUGCAAGCUGUAUCAAUAGUUGGAAAAAUACUCUUAUUUUUAUCAAGCAUAGUCCAAUACUUCAUUUUCCUAAGAAAAUAAUGACAGAUACAGUUAAAGAUCUAUACACAAACUGAGUUAAAAAGAGCCUGACCCACAGACAGAAAUGUGUAACCUAUUAAUUCAUAAGAUAGAGUAUUUUUUAUAACUGAUAAAAAUAUUUUCAAAUAAUUUUAUAUUAUUUUAAAAGGGACAAAAUUGUAAGUACAGAAUGUCAACAAUAUGAAUAUGUACAUGUAUAAAUAUAUACAUAUAUGAAUAUAGGUAUGUAUUAUACACAUACACACAUAUGAAUCAAAGAGCCUCAGAAAGAAGAGUACCAAAAUGUUAAAAUUGGACCUAUCUAGGUGGUAAGAUUUAGAGGUUUUUGUUCUGUCUGUUUAUAUUUCUCUAUAUUUGCUAUGGGCAUAUAUUAUGCAACAAAGUAAAAAACCCAUUUUUAGCCGGGUGCAGUGGCCCACACCUGUAAUCCCAGCACUUUGGGAGGCCAAGGAAGGUGGAUCACCUGAGGUCAGGAGAACCCCCGGCUCUACUAAAAAUACAAAAAUUAGCUGGGCAUGAUGGCCCACACCUGUAAUCUCAGCUACUCAGGAGGCUGAGGCAAGAGAAUCACUUGAACCUGGGAGGCAGAGGUUGCCGUGAGCCAAGAUUGUGCCAUUGCACUCCAGCCUGGGCAACAAGAACGAAACAC